rnacentral:rRNA from 1 species
GGACGAACGCUGGCGGCGUGCUUAACACAUGCAAGUCGAACGGAAAGGCCCUGCUUUUGUGGGGUGCUCGAGUGGCGAACGGGUGAGUAACACGUGAGUAACCUGCCCUUGACUUUGGAUAACUUCAGGAAACUGGGGCUAAUACCGGAUAGGAGCUCCUGCUGCAUGGUGGGGGUUGGAAAGUUUCGGCGGUUGGGGAUGGACUCGCGGCUUAUCAGCUUGUUGGUGGGGUAGUGGCUUACCAAGGCUUUGACGGGUAGCCGGCCUGAGAGGGUGACCGGCCACAUUGGGACUGAGAUACGGCCCAGACUCCUACGGGAGGCAGCAGUGGGGAAUAUUGCACAAUGGGCGGAAGCCUGAUGCAGCAACGCCGCGUGCGGGAUGACGGCCUUCGGGUUGUAAACCGCUUUCGCCUGUGACGAAGCGUGAGUGACGGUAAUGGGUAAAGAAGCACCGGCUAACUACGUG